ensembl:snoRNA
CAGGAGCCUAAAGAGAUGUCUUUCUAUGGUCUGUUGGCGAUUUCAGAACUUGGGCAGUGAAAUGGUCAAUUCAUUAGAAAGAAACAACU